rnacentral:rRNA from 1 species
GGCGGACGGGUGAGUAACGCGUGAGAAUCUGGCUCCAGGUCGGGGAUACAGUUGGAAACGACUGCUAAUACCGGAUGUGCCGAGAGGUGAAAGAUUUAUUGCCUGGAGAUGAGCUCGCGUCUGAUUAGCUAGUUGGUGGUGUAAGGGACCACCAAGGCGUCGAUCAGUAGCUGGUCUGAGAGGAUGAUCAGCCACACUGGGACUGAGACACGGCCCAGACUCCUACGGGAGGCAGCAGGGAAUUUUCCGCAAUGGGCGAAAGCCUGACGGAGCAAUACCGCGUGAGGGAGGAAGGCUCUUGGGUCGUAAACCUCUUUUCUCAAGGAAGAAGAAAGUGACGGUACUUGAGGAAUAAGCAUCGGCUAACUCCGUGCCACAGCCGCGGUAAUACGGAGGAUGCAAGCGUUAUCCGGAAUGAUUGGGCGUAAAGGGUCUGCAGGUGGAACUGAAAGUCUGCUGUUAAAGAGUUUGGCUUAACCAAAUAAAAGCGGUGGAAACUACAGAACUAGAGUGGGUAGGGGCAAAAGGAAUUCCUGGUGUAGCGUGAAAUGCGUAGAUAUCAGGAAGAACACCGGUGGCGAAAGCGUUUUGCUAGACCUAAUGAGGGACGAAAGCUAGGGGAGCGAAUGGGAUUAGAUACCCCAGUAUCCUAGCCG